ACCGUCGUGAAAACCCUCGAAAAGAAAGCCGCCAUGGGAACUCGCUGGAAAAGCCAUCGAUAGGACGACAGCUGCGGUUGAAGAAGAAGCGGAGUUCGCGAGGCUUGUGAAGUUAAAUUGAAUCCGUCCAAUCUCCGCAUUUUACUAAAUCAAGGAUUUGAGCUGAGUUGAAAUUAGUUGAUUUGCAUGGAUGUAAAUGGAUCUCACUACUUUCAAGUUGGACAUAGAUGAGCUUGUGGAUGACUUCACUCGGGAAAACUCAACUGAGUUGACAGACUUUAAAAGGGUGUGGUUUGCUAAGAAGUUCUCUUAUAUUUACGAAGCAAGUCCAAGAACUAACUCUGUCUUUUUUAUGCAAUCCCUGUUCGCACAUUCCAUUGGUCAUAUGAGCUCAUCAACUUCUCUAUUUCAGAGAUUAGGAGGGCUAUACUGUCUCUAUUGUCUAUAUGAGACUCAACCAUACAAACCUCGUGUCAAGAUUUAUUUGUGUUUAGGAGAGCUAAAGAGGCUCAAAUUGUUGGUUGUUGAUGCUAAAGAAAAUGGAAUUCGAGUCGUACCUGCUCUUGUUAAAAAGAUGCUUACUGAGAACAUGUUUCUAUUUGGUUCUUCUGACAGUGGUUCGACCACACAAGGGGCUGAUGCUGCUAAAAAGUUGCAGGAGAAAAACUUUCAAAUCGCAUAUGAGAAAUUAUUGUCUAACACUGAGAUUGAUGACUAUGUUCAUAUGAACCUUGGCGUGGAGCUUGGUCUAGAAUCAUUUAAGAAAAUGUCAACAGAUUAUGUGAAAGCUAAGGAAGAAGCUAUUAAAGAAGCUAGCAAAUCCAUCAGCGUGGAGGACAUAAAACACAUAGCAGAAAAUGCUAGUUUAGCAAGCGACGCGGUUGAUAAACUGGUGAAAGAAUGGGAUUCUCAAAAGGAAAUAUUUUACAAGCAGACUGGUCUUGGUAACUGCCGUGCAAUAGUGACAGUUGAUGAUGAGGGUUUCGCCGAGGUGGAACGCUUGUUAGAUGAGUGAAGAUAUCUUCCAAAAUUCAGAAUAAAGAAGAAUGAAGAGGAGAAUUCUGCUGACAUUCUUCCUCUGGUUUAUGAUCCUUGCACUCUUUGUAACAGCGAGCGCAGGGGCUCUGGCUCAUGUGAAGGAACAUGAGAAUGUUAUUCAUCCACAAGGCUGCAGGUGUUGCUGGUUCUUUCUGAAGCCAACAAUCAGGUGUGGGAAGGUCGUUUGUGGCCAGGAAUCCUGCUAAGGUCUGCAAAUUUGACUUGAAGAAGAUCAUAAUAAAUGAAAAGGAGCCAACUUGGAGCCUUAAUAAUUAACAAAUGUGGACUUGUUGAAAUUGUUACUCUACCAUUUCUUAAUAAAAUGAAAGUUUUCUGAUUUCAAACAUGAAUUAUGGGACUAAAAUGGUCCAUAUAAAUAGG